UACAGAGGGUGCGAGCGUUGUCCGGAAUCACUGGGCGUAAAGAGUGUGUAGGCGGUGCUCUAAGUUCGGUGUGAAAUCUCCUGGCUCAACUGGGAGGGUGCGCCGGAAACUGGAGUGCUUGAGCGUGGGAGAGGAAAGCGGAAUUCCUGGUGUAGCGGUGAAAUGCGUAGAUAUCAGGAGGAACACCUGUGGUGUAGACGGCUUUCUGGACCAUAGCUGACGCUGAGACACGAAAGCGUGGGUAGCAAACAGG
rnacentral:rRNA from 1 species